ACAUAUCUCACAAAAUAUUUCUCUCUCCCUCACUCACCAUUUUCGGCCCUCUCUCUCUCUCCCUCAUCUCUCACUUUCCUUCACUUUCCACCAUUGUCAACCAUAGAUGAGACCUUCGAAGCUUCACCAAAAUAUGCCAAACACAUAAAUCACCAACAAAAUCCCACCUAAACACCUCCUAUCAACUUGAAUUCAAGAGAAUCCUUGAAGAUUGGCUUCAAGACUAGAGAGAGAAAGUUUGAUAUUUGGUGUAAACUUGGACCGAGCGAGACGAAGAAGUAAGUCGCCUGUUUUCUUUCCGAAACUAGCGAAGGACUUCAGACUAAGCGAGGAGCGAGAUUGGUCUGGUGCUGGUGUGGAAUUGUUGGAGGAUGUAUUUACUUUAUCGUAUUUCCAUUUUGACGAUAAAGUCUUAAUGAUUGAUAUACUUUGAUUUUCUUUUGAAUUUAAGCAAUGUACUCACGGUUAUAUGUCUUCAUACAUAUAAUCGAUUCGCCUUUUGCUGCGAUACUCUGCAUAUUAUGAUUCCUUACGAAAAAUGAGCGAUACCCGUUUUGUUUU